rnacentral:rRNA from 1 species
AUUGAACGCUGGCGGCAUGCUUUACACAUGCAAGUCGGACGGCAGCACAGAGAAGCUUGCUUCUUGGGUGGCGAGUGGCGAACGGGUGAGUAAUAUAUCGGAACGUACCGAGUAAUGGGGGAUAACUAAUCGAAAGAUUAGCUAAUACCGCAUAUUCUCUGAGGAGGAAAGCAGGGGACCUUCGGGCCUUGCGUUAUUCGAGCGGCCGAUAUCUGAUUAGCUAGUUGGUGGGGUAAAGGCCUACCAAGGCGACGAUCAGUAGCGGGUCUGAGAGGAUGAUCCGCCACACUGGGACUGAGACACGGCCCAGACUCCUACGGGAGGCAGCAGUGGGGAAUUUUGGACAAUGGGCGCAAGCCUGAUCCAGCCAUGCCGCGUGUCUGAAGAAGGCCUUCGGGUCGUAAAGGACUUUUGUCAGGGAAGAAAAGGCUGUUGCUAAUAUCGACAGCUGAUGACGGUACCUGAAGAAUAAGCACCGGCUAACUACGUGCCAGCAGCCGCGGUAAUACGUAGGGUGCGAGCGUUAAUCGGAAUUACUGGGCGUAAAGCGAGCGCAGACGGUUACUUAAGCAGGAUGUGAAAUCCCCGGGCUCAACCUGGGAACUGCGUUCUGAACUGGGUGACUAGAGUGUGUCAGAGGGAGGUAGAAUUCCACGUGUAGCAGUGAAAUGCGUAGAGAUGUGGAGGAAUACCGAUGGCGAAGGCAGCCUCCUGGGAUAACACUGACGUUCAUGCUCGAAAGCGUGGGUAGCAAACAGGAUUAGAUACCCUGGUAGUCCACGCCCUAAACGAUGUCAAUUAGCUGUUGGGCAACUUGAUUGCUUAGUAGCGUAGCUAACGCGUGAAAUUGACCGCCUGGGGAGUACGGUCGCAAGAUUAAAACUCAAAGGAAUUGACGGGGACCCGCACAAGCGGUGGAUGAUGUGGAUUAAUUCGAUGCACGCGAAGAACCUACCUGGUCUGACAUGUACGGAAUCCUCAGAGACGG